UUUAUCUAUGAAUAAAUAAUGAUAAUUAUAUUAAGGUUUUUGUAAGUUUAUUUCCCAUCUCUAUUGUUUAUAGACAUAAAGAAGUCUACACAUGGAGUAAUGUCAAUUGCUGUGUACACAACAUCAUUGUUGGGAAACUGUGGAUAGAACAGUAUGGAGCAAUGGAAUUGGUUGGUCAUACCACAGGCUUGACAGCUGUCAUCAAUUUUAAACAAGCUGGUUGGUUCAAGAAAGAUCUCUUCAGAAUAGAGGGUUUUGUCUAUAGCAAAGAGGGUAAAAAACUUCGAUAUCUCUAUGGUAAUUGGACAAACUAUAU